GGGGAAGGUAUAGCUCAGGGGUAGAGUGCAUGCCUAGAAUGCUUGAGGUCCUGGGUUCAAACCCCAGUACCACCG